UCGGGAAUUUUGGGCAAUGGGCGAAAGCCUGACCCAGCAACGCCGCGUGAAGGAUGAAGUAUUUCGGUAUGUAAACUUCGAAAGAAUAGGAAGAAUAAAUGACGGUACUAUUUAUAAGGUCCGGCUAACUACGUGCCAGCAGCCGCGGUAAUACGUAGGGACCAAGCGUUGUUCGGAUUUACUGGGCGUAAAGGGCGCGUAGGCGGCAAUUCAAGUCAUCUGUGAAAUCUCCGGGCUUAACUCGGAACGGUCAGAUGAUACUGCUUUGCUAGAGUGCAGAAGGGGCAAUCGGAGUUCUUGGUGUAGCGGUGAAAUGCGUAGAUAUCAAGAGGAACACCUGAGGUGAAGACGGGUUGCUGGGCUGACACUGACGCUGAGGCGCGAAAGCCAGGGGAGCAAACGGGAUUAGAUACCCCCGUAGUCCCUGAGCGGGCUGGCAAGGCGCAU
rnacentral:rRNA from 1 species